rnacentral:rRNA from 1 species
AUAUGUUAAGUGGAAAAGGAUGUGGCGUUGCCCAGACAACUAGGAUGUUGGCUUAGAAGCAGCCAUCAUUUAAAGAGUGCGUAAUAGCUCACUAGUCGAGUGACACUGCGCCGAAAAUGUACCGGGGCUAAACAUAUUACCGAAGCUGUGGAUUGUCCUUUGGACAAUGGUAGGAGAGCGUUCUAAGGGCGUUGAAGCAUGAUCGUAAGGACAUGUGGAGCGCUUAGAAGUGAGAAUGCCGGUGUGAGUAGCGAAAGACGGGUGAGAAUCCCGUCCACCGAUUGACUAAGGUUUCCAGAGGAAGGCUCGUCCGCUCUGGGUUAGUCGGGUCCUAAGCUGAGGCCGACAGGCGUAGGCGAUGGAUAACAGGUUGAUAUUCCUGUACCACCUAUAAUCGUUUUAAUCGAUGGGGGGACGCAGUAGGAUAGGCGAAGCGUGCGAUUGGAUUGCACGUCUAAGCAGUAAGGCUGAGUAUUAGGCAAAUCCGGUACUC